rnacentral:rRNA from 1 species
AGAUGAUUUUAGUGCUUGCACUAAAUGAAACUAGAUACAAGCGAGCGGCGGACGGGUGAGUAACACGUGGGUAACCUGCCCAAGAGACUGGGAUAACACCUGGAAACAGAUGCUAAUACCGGAUAACAACACUAGACGCAUGUCUAGAGUUUGAAAGAUGGUUCUGCUAUCACUCUUGGAUGGACCUGCGGUGCAUUAGCUAGUUGGUAAGGUAACGGCUUACCAAGGCAAUGAUGCAUAGCCGAGUUGAGAGACUGAUCGGCCACAUUGGGACUGAGACACGGCCCAAACUCCUACGGGAGGCAGCAGUAGGGAAUCUUCCACAAUGGACGAAAGUCUGAUGGAGCAACGCCGCGUGAGUGAAGAAGGGUUUCGGCUCGUAAAGCUCUGUUGGUAGUGAAGAAAGAUAGAGGUAGUAACUGGCCUUUAUUUGACGGUAAUUACUUAGAAAGUCACGGCUAACUACGUGCCAGCAGCCGCGGUAAUACGUAGGUGGCAAGCGUUGUCCGGAUUUAUUGGGCGUAAAGCGAGUGCAGGCGGUUCAAUAAGUCUGAUGUGAAAGCCUUCGGCUCAACCGGAGAAUUGCAUCAGAAACUGUUGAACUUGAGUGCAGAAGAGGAGAGUGGAACUCCAUGUGUAGCGGUGGAAUGCGUAGAUAUAUGGAAGAACACCAGUGGCGAAGGCGGCUCUCUGGUCUGCAACUGACGCUGAGGCUCGAAAGCAUGGGUAGCGAACAGGAUUA